GUCGCGCCUAGCCCGACGGGGCGAAAACCGGGCACCUUCCCCGGCUGGCGCGGCACCUAUUGAAGG
rnacentral:sRNA from 12 species